AAUGAACGCUGGCGGCAGGCCUAACACAUGCAAGUCGAGCGAGCAUUUCGGUGCUAGCGGCGGACGGGUGAGUAACGCGUGGGAACGUGCCCUUUUCUGCGGAAUAGUCCUGGGAAACUGGGGGUAAUACCGCAUACGCCCUUUUAGGGAAAGAUUUAUCGGAGAAGGAUCGGCCCGCGUUGGAUUAGGUAGUUGGUGGGGUAAUGGCCCACCAAGCCGACGAUCCAUAGCUGGUUUGAGAGGAUGAUCAGCCACACUGGGACUGAGACACGGCCCAGACUCCUACGGGAGGCAGCAGUGGGGAAUCUUAGACAAUGGGGGCAACCCUGAUCUAGCCAUGCCGCGUGAGUGAUGAAGGCCUUAGGGUUGUAAAGCUCUUUCAGCUGGGAAGAUAAUGACGGUACCAGCAGAAGAAGCCCCGGCUAACUCCGUG
rnacentral:rRNA from 1 species